rnacentral:lncRNA from 1 species
UUCAUUAUCAAAUAAUCGACAAUUUAUCGCCCUUUGUAUCAACACGCCAUUUGUAAACAUGAAAGGUCGUGUGAAAGGAAACUUUUAAACAGUAAUUUGACGAUUGAUUUAAAAGGGAUAAUGAAUGUCAUUGAGCGAUUUACAGAUCAACUAUUGAUGAACUACUGAGAAACAUCUGGCAUAUUGCUAUGACCUUAAACAAAAAAAAAGGAAUUCUCAAGGCAUGCCUACAUACCACAUGUUGGAAGAGUUUGUGGAAUGGCUGAAGGAAGAAAGAAUUUCCAGCCAGAAAAAUAAAAUUCUUUAUGAAUUUGUGAAUGGAAAUGAAACCAAAGGAACUAAUAUAUUUGCUUACCAUCCAGUUAAAAGUAUGCCAAUGAAAUAAAGUGCAACUGUCACAGAAGUGCACAAAAUAAGGUCAUGUUUUCUGCAAAAGUUCAAGCUGAUUCAAACUGCAAAUGGGAGUCAAGAAAAAUGUAAAACUAACUGAACUGUCACAGUUCAACUGUGAGAAAUGUUUGGUAAAAGUAUGUUUUGUUGUCAGAACAGCAGUGAAGUGGUUAGAGUAAAACUGUCUUCAUUGUUUAAGUAAUACAGAUUUUUUUUUU